AAUGCAUGAUGUGGGCAAUUUCUAAGUAUUUUCUUAAAUCUUUCUUAACGCUCAUAAUUGGAUUCUCCUUCAAACUAAGUAAAAGAAGUUAUGUCAUUUCUAAGUUU